rnacentral:rRNA from 1 species
GACGAACGCUGGCGGCGUGCUUAACACAUGCAAGUCGAACGGAAAGGCCCUGCUUUUGUGGGGUGCUCGAGUGGCGAACGGGUGAGUAACACGUGAGUAACCUGCCCUUGACUUUGGGAUAACUUCAGGAAACUGGGGCUAAUACCGGAUAGGAGCUCCUGCUGCAUGGUGGGGGUUGGAAAGUUUCGGCGGUUGGGGAUGGACUCGCGGCUUAUCAGCUUGUUGGUGGGGUAGUGGUUUACCAAGGCUUUGACGGGUAGCCGGCCUGAGAGGGUGACCGGCCACAUUUGGACUGAGAUACGGCCCAGACUCCUACGGGAGGCAGCAGUGGGGAAUAUUGCACAAUGGGCGGAAGCCUGAUGCAGCAACGCCGCGUGCGGGAUGACGGCCUUCGGGUUGUAAACCGCUUUCGCCUGUGACGAAGCGUGAGUGACGGUAAUGGGUAAAGAAGCACCGGCUAACUACGU